AUUGAACGCUGGCGGAAUGCUUUACACAUGCAAGUCGAACGGUAGAGGGGGCAACCCCUCGAGAGUGGCGAACGGGUGAGUAAUAUAUCGGAACGUGCCCAGUCGUGGGGGAUAACGUAGCGAAAGUUACGCUAAUACCGCAUACGAUCUAAGGAUGAAAGCGGGGGAUCGCAAGACCUCGCGCGAUUGGAGCGGCCGAUAGCAGAUUAGGUAGUUGGUGGGGUAAAGGCUCACCAAGCCAACGAUCUGUAGCUGGUCUGAGAGGACGACCAGCCACAAUGGAACUGAGGCACGGUCCAGGCUCCUACGGGAGGCAGCAGUGGGGAAUUUUGGACAAUGGACGCAAGUCUGAUCCAGCCAUUCCGCGUGCAGGAUGAAGGCCCUCGGGUUGUAAACUGCUUUUGUACGGAACGAAAAGGUCUCUCUUAAUACGGGGGGCUCAUGACGGUACCGUAAGAAUAAGCACCGGCUAACUACGUGCCAGCCGCCGCGGUAA
rnacentral:rRNA from 1 species